CUGUUUGACUAAACGAUGCCACUGACGAUCCGUGGUGGUUCUUUAUGUGUCCCCACGGGCAGUCCCCGGGAAACCCUUAAGUCUUUGGGCUCCGGGGGAAGUAUGGUUGCAAAGCUGAAACUUAAAGGAAUUGACGGAAGGGCACCACCAGGAGUGGAGCCUGCGGCUUAAUUCGACUCAACACGGGAAAACUCACCCGGCCCGGACACUGUGAGGAUUGACAGAUUGAUAGCUCUUUCUUGAUUCGGUGGUUGGUGGUGCAUGGCCGUUCUUAGUUGGUGGAGCGAUUUGUCUGGUUAAAUCCGAUAACGAACGAGACUCUGGCCUGCUA
rnacentral:rRNA from 1 species